GCAGAAGAGAGGUCUGUCGCUUCAUGCCGGGUGCAUGAAGAGGAAAGUCCGGGCAACUCAGAGCACCAUACUUGCCAACGACAAGCCGGCGGCGACGUCGGGGGAAAUGUGACAGAAAACGACCGCCCGGGGUCGCAUGAUCACGGGUAAGGGUGAAAAGGCGGGGUAAGAGCCCACCGGAUGCCGUGGCGACACGGCAUGCCGCACAUCCUAUGGGUUGCAAGGCCAAAUACACCGGCA
rnacentral:RNase_P_RNA from 1 species